rnacentral:rRNA from 1 species
CCUACGGGAGGCUGCAGUGAGGAAUAUUGGUCAAUGGGCGCAAGCCUGAACCAGCCAUGCCGCGUGCAGGAUGACGGCCCUAUGGGUUGUAAACUGCUUUUAUACGGGAAGAAACCUUCGGACGUGUCCGGAGCUGACGGUACCGUAAGAAUAAGCACCGGCUAACUCCGUGCCAGCAGCCGCGGUAAUACGGAGGGUGCAAGCGUUAUCCGGAUUUAUUGGGUUUAAAGGGUGCGCAGGCGGAUUAAUAAGUCAGUGGUGAAAUCCCCCGGCUCAACCGGGGAAUUGCCGUUGAUACUGUUAGUCUAGAGUUUAGUUGAAGUAGGCGGAAUGUAGCAUGUAGCGGUGAAAUGCAUAGAUAUGCUACAGAACACCAAUUGCGAAGGCAGCUUACUAACCUAAAACUGACGCUCAGGCACGAAAGCGUGGGGAUCAAACAGGAUUAGAUACCCCGGUAGUC